AAAAAUGUAAGUCAUUGAGAGGAAAAACUACAUGCUUUUUUACAGUCACUAAUUACUAGCAAAACAUAAACUUGCUAAAUACUGCUCGCACAAAAAUGUUCUAUGAUGACUCGAAUAUGUUAUUAUAAUAACAAUUAACAUACGAUACUUUAAGGCCGAGGUUACAAAAUCGAUUCACCAAAAAAACGGUCUCCAUCAAAAUAUCCUCAGAAAGUUGAUGAAA
rnacentral:lncRNA from 1 species